UGUCGUUCUCAGGGCGGGGUGUAAUUCCCCACCGGCGGUGAAAGCCCGCGAGCGCCGUUCUCCGGAACGGGUCAGCAGACACCGGUGAAAUUCCGGGGCCGACGGUUAUAGUCCGGAUGAAAGAGAAAGCAG
rnacentral:ncRNA from 2 species